AGUGAACGCUGGCGGUGGGCCUAACACAUGCAAGUCGAACGGCAGCACAGUAAGAGCUUGCUCUUACGGGUGGCGAGUGGCGGACGGGUGAGGAAUACAUCGGAAUCUACUUUUUCGUGGGGGAUAACGGAGGGAAACUUACGCUAAUACCGCAUACGACCUACGGGUGAAAGCAGGGGAUCUUCGGACCUUGCGCGAUUGAAUGAGCCGAUGUCGGAUUAGCUAGUUGGCGGGGUAAAGGCCCACCAAGGCGACGAUCCGUAGCUGGUCUGAGAGGAUGAUCAGCCACACUGGAACUGAGACACGGUCCAGACUCCUACGGGAGGCAGCAGUGGGGAAUAUUGCACAAUGGGCGCAAGCCUGAUCCAGCCAUACCGCGUGGGUGAAGAAGGCCUUCGGGUUGUAAAGCCCUUUUGUUGGGAAAGAAAAGCAGCAGGUUAAUCCCCCGCUGUUCUGACGGUACCCAAAGAAUAAGCACCGGCUAACUUCGUG
rnacentral:rRNA from 1 species